rnacentral:rRNA from 1 species
GAUGAACGCUGGCGGCGUGCUUAACACAUGCAAGUCGAGCGAGUGAGUUCUUCGGAACGAUCUAGCGGCGGACGGGUGAGUAACACGUGGGCGACCUGCCUCAUAGAGGGGAAUAGCCUCCCGAAAGGGAGAUUAAUACCGCAUAACAUCGUUGAAGGGCAUCCUUCGAUGAUCAAAGGAGCAAUCCGCUAUGAGAUGGGCCCGCGGCGCAUUAGCUAGUUGGUGAGGUAACGGCUCACCAAGGCGACGAUGCGUAGCCGACCUGAGAGGGUGAUCGGCCACAUUGGGACUGAGACACGGCCCAGACUCCUACGGGAGGCAGCAGUGGGGAAUAUUGCACAAUGGGGGAAACCCUGAUGCAGCAACGCCGCGUGAGUGAUGACGGCCUUCGGGUUGUAAAGCUCUGUCUUUGGGGACGAUAAUGACGGUACCCAAGGAGGAAGUCACGGCUAACUACGUGCCAGCCGCCGCCGUAAGAC